CAGCAGCCGCGGGAAUACAGAGGGUGCGAGCGUUAAUCGGAUUUACUGGGCGUAAAGCGUGCGUAGGCGGCUUCUUAAGUCGGAUGUGAAAUCCCUGAGCUUAACUUAGGAAUUGCAUUCGAUACUGGGAAGCUAGAGUAUGGGAGAGGAUGGUAGAAUUCCAGGUGUAGCGGUGAAAUGCGUAGAGAUCUGGAGGAAUACCGAUGGCGAAGGCAGCCAUCUGGCCUAAUACUGACGCUGAGGUACGAAAGCAUGGGGAGCAAACAGGAUUAGAGACCCCUGUAGUCCCUGUCUCUUAUAA
rnacentral:rRNA from 1 species